GUAGGGAAUAUUGGACAAUGGGUGCAAGCCUGAUCCAGCCAUGCCGCGUGCAGGAAGAAAGCCUUCUGGGUUGUAAACUGCUUUUUUCAGGGGAUAAAAUACCGGUGCGCCGGGAAUUGCAAGUACCUGGAGAAUAAGCCACGGCUAACUACGUGCCAGCAGCCGCGGUAAUACGUAGGUGGCAAGCGUUGUCCGGAUUUAUUGGGUUUAAAGGGUGCGUAGGCGGUGAUUUAAGUCAGUGGUGAAAUACGGCAGCUUAACUGUCGAGGUGCCAUUGAUACUGGGUCACUUGAGUACUGAUGAGGUAGGCGGAAUGGACGGUGUAGCGGUGAAAUGCUUAGAGAUCGUCCAGAACACCGAUAGCGAAGGCAGCUUACUAAGGAGUAACUGACGCUGAGGCACGAAAGUGUGGGGAUCAAACAGGAUUAGAAACCCCAGUAGUCC
rnacentral:rRNA from 1 species